UACAGAGGUGGCAAGCGUUGUUCGGAAUUACUGGGCGUAAAGGGCGCGUAGGCGGUCUUGCAAGUCCUGUGUGAAAUCCCUCGGCUCAACUGAGGAACUGCACAGGAAACUGCUUGGCUUGAGUUCGGGAGAGGGAAGCGGAAUUCCGGGUGUAGCGGUGAAAUGCGUAGAUAUCUGGAGGAACACCGGUGGCGAAGGCGGCAUCCUGGACCGGCAUUGACGCUGAGGCGCGAAAGCUAGGGGAGCAAACGGG
rnacentral:rRNA from 1 species